rnacentral:lncRNA from 1 species
AGUAGAAGGAUAACAUGACAUAGCAGGAAUAAUACUGCCUUUUCUUUCUGGCAUGGAUCAAGAGAAAAGAAAAUACAAGAAAACAGACAGAAGAUCCUAUCUGCGACAAUUAAGAGCACUCUAAGAGGAAAACACAUCCCACCACACAAGGCAAGGUACUUCUAUGGAAGGGUGAGCCCUCACAGAUGGAGCAAUGGGGCGCGCACACCUGAACAAGGGAGGGGAAGGAGUUCUUAUCCCUGAUGCAUGUGACCCCUGCUGCUGUGUCCUUCCCCUAUUGGCUAAGGUUAGACCACACAGCCUAAACUAAUUCCGAUUGGCUAAUUCAAAGAGAGCGACGGGGGCUUCUGACAGCUUUGGAGAUUGUGACAUUGGAAUAAAGGAAAAACGUACAGGACUCAUGAAGCGCUGAAAUGUUCACAAAUAUCAAGCAAAAGUCAAUGAAAUUUAUUUUGAGCUAUUUACAUCAUUUAAUAAUUGAGCAAGGUAUACUCCUAUGAACAAAAUUUGGAGCAUGUUUGUCUCUCUCUGCCUGGCGUCUUCAGAAUUUGGAAACUAGUUAGUCAUGGAAAUUUAUUUUGAGCUAUUUACAGCAUUUAAUAAUUGAGCAAGGUAUACUCCUAUGAACAAAAUUUGGAGCAUGUUUGUCUCUCUCUGUCUGCCUGGCAUCUACAGAAUUUGGAAACUAGUUUCGUUCCCAGAUUUCCUAAACUUUCCAGAGAAAAUGGUCUUCUCCCUGGCUCAGCAAGAAGAUGAACUUUAAACACUGAGAAACUGGUCAUCUCCCUGGCUCAACCAGAAGAUGAACUUUAAACACUACUCUCAAUGACUUGAUGUUCCCAUCACUACUCCUGUCAUAAAGGGAGGGGACUCAGAUAUUGAGAAUUUUAUGAUAGUGUGAACUGUCUGGUAUGUCAUUUAAGUAAGCCCGUUGCUGAAAUAUUUUCCAUGUUAUUAGAAAGAGCUGAAGAGAGGGAUUGAGAUGGCUUCUUUAUUUUUUGUCUUUUGGGAAUUAAAGGAACCUGGUUCAACAAGGGCCUACACCUAAGUCUCUUGUUGUACCAGAGUACAAUUUAGGACUGCUCCUGAGGAAGGAAUUAGCUAGAAAUCUAGAGAGUAAGGGUAACAGAUUUACAUAGAAUAACAGCCUCAGUAUUUUUGGUUCCUCUCCAGUAAAGAUCACAAAGAAUAUUGCUAAAUCGCUAAAACACCUUUGCAAUAACGUAAGGGCUUACAACUAUAUACCAAUGUAGCUCAGUUACUAAACUGGAGUAAACUAAUUUCUCUUGUGUAGAAAAAUUGGUUGGCUGUGGUUUUAUAGCAGAUCUGCAAUUAUUAAUAGUUAUGCCAAUAAUCGUUUAACAGUGCAUAUGUUAAUAUAUAUGGAAAGACAAUGUGUAUAGACAGAUGUGUAAAAUUGAAAAAUAAACAUAUAACAAGAGAGAAACAUCUAUCGAACAGACAAUAUACAUACACAUCAAACACAACAGCAGUUUUAGUGACCAUAAUAUUUAUUUCUCAUUUUUACAUUGCUUACUUUAGUGACAACUGAAAAUGACAGUUGGCAAUGCAGCUAACAGUUUCAAUAAAAGUAUAAAACAAAA